CUGUUUGGCUUAGAUUCUGAAAAAAUAAUUUCUGUAUCAUGGAUUUUAGUUUGAAAAAUUAAUUUUGUUUAAAAGUUAUAAAACGUUUGGCUGAGUUUAGAUAAAAGAAAUUUUUCUGAAUUAAUUUUAUAAAACUGUUUGGUAAAAAAAUUUUAGUAUUUGCAUAUAAUAAUAUUUUUACUAAAUUUUAUUUUAAAAUAAUUUAAAUUUUGAAUUAAAAUUUAAAAUUUGUACGGUCAUAAAUGAACGUAUAAAGAAUUUUCUAUCAAAAAUUCAAGCAAAUUUGGAUUACUCUACACCAAUAAACAAGCAAACGGCUCAUAUAGGCCGUCAAAAUUAUCAAUUGUACAACACUUUGAUCACCAUGCAAAUAAUUCUUAAAAUUUAUGAAAUUUAGUUUCUAGAAAUUUCAAAUAUUUUAGAUUAACUUCAAUGACUCCGAUCAUCGAUUCGGAAUCUUUACUAUCAAGAACAAUUUGAUAGGACAAGUGCUCCUAUCCUAUUAAUAGGAUAGUAGCCCUAGCCUCUCUCUCUCUCUCUCUCUCUCUAUAUAUAUAUAUAUAUAUAGAGUUUGACUGGGCUACUAUCGGUAGUAAACUGCUCGGUUUACUUCCAAUUUGUUUUUGAUGAUAGAGCUUUCAAAUCGACGAUCGGCACCAGUAAACAUGAUCUGACCAUUUGAAUUAUUUAGAAAUCAAAUUUCAUGAUUUUUUGGCAUCACUAACUGAACGAUCAAAGGGUCACAAAAUCUAUAAUUUUAAUGGCUGAUAUAGUGCGUUUGCUCGUUUAACGGUAUAGAAGAGUUCAAAUCAACUAAACUUUUGUUAAAAAAUUCUUUAAACUAUUUAAAAUAAGAUCUAGAUUCUAGAUCUCAAAUAUAAAAAUUGUAUCAUCACUUUUUAAAGGAUAUUUAUUUCCAGCCAUUCAUUUUUCUGUUCACUUGAUGAACAAGAGAACAAUAUCAAAAAUAUGUGAAAUUUGAUUUCCAGAUAGCUUAAAUAAUUUAGAUCACGUUUAACGAUGCCGAUCAUCAAUUUGGAAGCUCUAUCAUCGAAAAUAAAUCGGUAGUAAACCGAGCCGUUUACUACCGAUAGUAUUCUAGCAAAACUCAUAUAUAUAUAUAUAUAUAUAUAUAUAUAUGUACCAGCUACUAUACUCUUGUGAGUAUGAUCGCCUUCAUACUCAUAAGUUAUUUUCAAUGAUAAAGCUUCUGAAUCGACGAUCCAUACCGUUAAACAUUAUUUAGAGCAUUUAAAACUUCUAAAAAUCAAAUUUUAUAAUUUUUU
rnacentral:lncRNA from 1 species